rnacentral:rRNA from 1 species
AUUGAACGCUGGCGGCAUGCCUUACACAUGCAAGUCGAACGGCAGCGCGGGAGCAAUCCUGGCGGCGAGUGGCGAACGGGUGAGUAAUAUAUCGGAACGUGCCCAGUAGUGGGGGAUAGCCCGGCGAAAGCCGGAUUAAUACCGCAUACGACCUACGGGUGAAAGGGGGGGAUCGCAAGACCUCUCGCUAUUGGAGCGGCCGAUAUCAGAUUAGGUAGUUGGUGGGGUAAAGGCCUACCAAGCCUGCGAUCUGUAGUUGGUCUGAGAGGACGACCAGCCACACUGGGACUGAGACACGGCCCAGACUCCGACGGGAGGCAGCAGUGGGGAAUUUUGGACAAUGGGCGCAAGCCUGAUCCAGCAAUGCCGCGUGCAGGAAGAAGGCCUUCGGGUUGUAAACUGCUUUUGUCAGGGAAGAAAUCCUCUGGGUUAAUACCUCGGGGGGAUGACGGUACCUGAAGAAUAAGCACCGGCUAACUACGUGCCAGCAGCCGCGGUAAGAC